rnacentral:rRNA from 1 species
UGCGUAGGCGGUUCGUUAUGUCUGUGGUGAAAGCCCUGGGCUCAACCUAGGAAUGGCCAUGGAAACUGGCGGGCUGGAGUAUGGCAGAGGGGGGUGGAAUUCCGCGUGUAGCAGUGAAAUGCGUAGAGAUGCGGAGGAACACCGAUGGCGAAGGCAGCCCCCUGGGCUAAUACUGACGCUGAGGCACGAAAGCGUGGGGAGCAAACA